rnacentral:piRNA from 1 species
UACGUGAUUGCAAAUCUUAUGGAGUAC